rnacentral:sRNA from 1 species
UUGACACAUGCAUAUUAUGAACUUCGUAAUGCAGACCAUGUAAACAUUUUCAAUUAUUUACCUUCUGAUCUUAAAACUUCAUCUUAUGAUUAAAUUUACCCGUCGUAUUUUCCUAAUAAUGUGCAGUAUUCCACAAAAGUUUUUCCAAGUUUGUCGGUUGUGUUUGGUAUCAAUUGGAGAAAAUGAUGUCCAGACCCAUCGUUUGUGUGAUGAGUCUCAAGUUCGGAGACGCUUAUUUACGGACUGCGGUUGCAACAAAAAUCUGUAUAAUAAUCAUUUUGCAAAGAGUCCAAUCCGUGACAAAAAUAAGAGAUUUGAUAAGUCGACAGAUGAUUCUUUACCGUUGAUAAUUUCCCCUAGUGAUUCAUGUUUGCCCAAAAAUUUUCAGCACUCAAAUUCUGAGUUGUCAAAAGAAGAGAAGCCAGAUAUUCGAAAUAACAAAGAAAGAAGUAAGGUAAAGAAUAAAUUUGUACCUGAAAACAUUGGGGAUGAGACAUUUCAAAAUUUUGAUGAUGAUUCAUCGCCGUCUAUAGUAAUACAAAUACUUAGAUGUCUAUCCUUAGAGGUGUCUCUUGGUGACCAAUUACCCAAAUUGGUAUGCUGCAACUGCCUGUCCAACUUACGGACUUUAUGGAAAUUCCGGACGAUGGCUCAAGAAGCAGAUACCGUACUUCGAAAUUUUUUGAUGUAUUGCAAAUCAUCAAAUAAGCCAAGCGAAAUGAAUGCAAGGAAGCGUCUCAACUUUUACACAUAUUAAACAGUUCUUUCGCAUUGCCCAAAUCACCAAAUCUAGAAAGAAAAGCACCCUCAGAGAAGCCAAUGGAAUUAGUCAAGUGUGGGAAAUUAUUUGCCUCUAGAAACGGUCUUCAUAAGGAUAUGGUGUGCUCUAAUUGUGGAACAGUAACUACAACUAUUUGGAGGAGGAGUAUCUGUGGCGAUAUUGUAUGCAAUGCAUGCGGUUUAUAUUUUAAACUCCAUGGAGUUAAUAGACCGCAUUCCAUGAGACGGGAUACUAUACAUACUAGACGGCGGCGACAAAAGGGCCCCGAAAAAGCAGUAAAAAUUGGUAAAUAAAAUGCGAUCAAAUUUUAGUUACAUGUAUUAUAUUAACUUAUCUUAUAAAUAUAUUAAACUAACACUUUUACUUGGA